rnacentral:rRNA from 1 species
UUAAGCGACUAAGCGUACACGGUGGAUGCCCUGGCAGUCAGAGGCGAUGAAGGACGUGCUAAUCUGCGAAAAGCGUCGGUAAGGUGAUAUGAACCGUUAUAACCGGCGAUGUCCGAAUGGGGAAACCCAGUGUGAUUCGUCACACUAUCGUUAACUGAAUACAUAGGUUAACGAGGCGAACCGGGGGAACUGAAACAUCUAAGUACCCCGAGGAAAAGAAAUCAACCGAGAUUCCCCCAGUAGCGGCGAGCGAACGGGGAGCAGCCCAGAGUCUGAAUCAGCUUGUGUGUUAGUGGAACGGUCUGGAAAGUCCGACGGUACAGGGUGAUAGUCCCGUACACCAAAAUGCACAGGUUGUGAACUCGAAGAGUAGGGCGGGACACGUGGUAUCCUGUCUGAAUAUGGGGGGACCAUCCUCCAAGGCUAAAUACUCCUGACUGACCGAUAGUGAACCAGUACCGUGAGGGAAAGGCGAAAAGAACCCCGGCGAGGGGAGUGAAAAAGAACCUGAAACCGUGUACGUACAAGCAGUGGGAGCACCUUCGGGUGUGACUGCGUACCUUUUGUAUAAUGGGUCAGCGACUUAUAUUCUGUAGCAAGGUUAACCGUAUAGGGGAGCCGCAGGGAAACCGAGUCUUAACUGGGCGUUAAGUUGCAGGGUAUAGACCCGAAACCCGGUGAUCUAGCCAUGGGCAGGUUGAAGGUUGGGUAACACUAACUGGAGGACCGAACCGACUAAUGUUGAAAAAUUAGCGGAUGACUUGUGGCUGGGGGUGAAAGGCCAAUCAAACCGGGAGAUAGCUGGUUCUCCCCGAAAGCUAUUUAGGUAGCGCCUCGUGAAUUCAUCUUCGGGGGUAGAGCACUGUUUCGGCUAGGGGGUCAUCCCGACUUACCAACCCGAUGCAAACUACGAAUACCGAAGAAUGUUAUCACGGGAGACACACGGCGGGUGCUAACGUCCGUCGUGAAGAGGGAAACAACCCAGACCGCCAGCUAAGGUCCCAAAGUCAUGGUUAAGUGGGAAACGAUGUGGGAAGGCACAGACAGCCAGGAUGUUGGCUUAGAAGCAGCCAUCAUUUAAAGAAAGCGUAAUAGCUCACUGGUCGAGUCGGCCUGCGCGGAAGAUGUAACGGGGCUAAACCAUGCACCGAAGCUGCGGCAGCGACACGAUGUGUUGUUGGGUAGGGGAGCGUUCUGUAAGCCUGCGAAGGUGUGCUGUGAGGCAUGCUGGAGGUAUCAGAAGUGCGAAUGCUGACAUAAGUAACGAUAAAGCGGGUGAAAAGCCCGCUCGCCGGAAGACCAAGGGUUCCUGUCCAACGUUAAUCGGGGCAGGGUGAGUCGACCCCUAAGGCGAGGCCGAAAGGCGUAGUCGAUGGGAAACAGGUUAAUAUUCCUGUACUUGGUGUUACUGCGAAGGGGGGACGGAGAAGGCUAUGUUAGCCGGGCGACGGUUGUCCCGGUUUAAGCAUGUAGGCUGGUUAUCCAGGCAAAUCCGGAUAAUCAAGGCUGAGGUGUGAUGACGAGGCACUACGGUGCUGAAGUAACAAAUGCCCUGCUUCCAGGAAAAGCCUCUAAGCAUCAGGUAACAUUAAAUCGUACCCCAAACCGACACAGGUGGUCAGGUAGAGAAUACCAAGGCGCUUGAGAGAACUCGGGUGAAGGAACUAGGCAAAAUGGUGCCGUAACUUCGGGAGAAGGCACGCUGGUGUGUAGGUGAAGUCCCUGCGGAUGGAGCUGAGACCAGUCGAAGAUACCAGCUGGCUGCAACUGUUUAUUAAAAACACAGCACUGUGCAAACACGAAAGUGGACGUAUACGGUGUGACGCCUGCCCGGUGCCGGAAGGUUAAUUGAUGGGGUUAUCCGUAAGGAGAAGCUCUUGAUCGAAGCCCCGGUAAACGGCGGCCGUAACUAUAACGGUCCUAAGGUAGCGAAAUUCCUUGUCGGGUAAGUUCCGACCUGCACGAAUGGCGUAAUGAUGGCCAGGCUGUCUCCACCCGAGACUCAGUGAAAUUGAACUCGCUGUGAAGAUGCAGUGUACCCGCGGCAAGACGGAAAGACCCCGUGAACCUUUACUAUAGCUUGACACUGAACAUUGAGCCUUGAUGUGUAGGAUAGGUGGGAGGCUUUGAAGCGUGGACGCCAGUCUGCGUGGAGCCAACCUUGAAAUACCACCCUUUAAUGUUUGAUGUUCUAACGUUGGCCCCUGACCGGGGUUGCGGACAGUGUCUGGUGGGUAGUUUGACUGGGGCGGUCUCCUCCCAAAGCGUAACGGAGGAGCACGAAGGUUAGCUAAUCCUGGUCGGACAUCAGGAGGUUAGUGCAAUGGCAUAAGCUAGCUUGACUGCGAGCGUGACGGCGCGAGCAGGUGCGAAAGCAGGUCAUAGUGAUCCGGUGGUUCUGAAUGGAAGGGCCAUCGCUCAACGGAUAAAAGGUACUCCGGGGAUAACAGGCUGAUACCGCCCAAGAGUUCAUAUCGACGGCGGUGUUUGGCACCUCGAUGUCGGCUCAUCACAUCCUGGGGCUGAAGUAGGUCCCAAGGGUAUGGCUGUUCGCCAUUUAAAGUGGUACGCGAGCUGGGUUUAGAACGUCGUGAGACAGUUCGGUCCCUAUCUGCCGUGGGCGCUGGAGAAUUGAGGGGGGCUGCUCCUAGUACGAGAGGACCGGAGUGGACGCAUCACUGGUGUUCGGGUUGUCAUGCCAAUGGCACUGCCCGGUAGCUAAAUGCGGAAGAGAUAAGUGCUGAAAGCAUCUAAGCACGAAACUUGCCCCGAGAUGAGUUCUCCCUGAGACUUUAAGUCUCCUGAAGGAACGUUAAAGACGAUGACGUUGAUAGGCCGGGUGUGUAAGCGCAGCGAUGCGUUGAGCUAACCGGUACUAAUGAACCGUGAGGCUUAACCU